UAUAUAUAUAUAUGCCUAUGCUUAUAUACAUUUGAUUUGUUUGAGCCAAACAGCAGGGAGAAGGAAAUAGUGGGUAAAGUGGACUGAGAAAGAAGUACUGGAACAUCUAGGCUUGCAACACUGUGGAAAGUUGCUGGGACACUACACUUAUGUCCCACCCUACCUUGUCUGGGGAAGACUCAGUUUAUACCAUCUGUGUCAACAUGCUCACUGAUAGUUUCCUUUUGGACUUUCAGAAUGCUCAUUUCAUUGGAAGAAUCACUCACUCCAGUAAGAAAGCCACUGUUUAGAGGGACCAUAACAUUAGGAGCUGGUGGGAUAAUCUCACUGCUCAUAGUCAUAAAGGGUGAUUAUACCCAGCCUGCACUUUACCUGCAGAGCCCUGUGCCCAGCAAAGGGCUGGGUAUGCUCCAAGAACAUGACUUUUCUUAACAUACUCAGUCUAGCAAAGACCUGGUGUGCUGGUGUGCACGAUGGUAUGAACCGAGGGGAGAAGCUGAGAGUGUUGAUGGGUCUACUCAUGACCACAGAAUGUGAGCUCAGACCUACAGGGAUGCAGAGGUUACAUAGAUUCCUGUGCUUAAUAUGGGUCCUGGAUCAAAUUGAUGGGGUGUACAGUCAACAAUAUUUAUACAAUUUUCCAUUAUUUGGGAGCUACUCUCUUCCUUGAUGCAGCUUUCUAGUUCUUUUUCCAGCCAUGACAUCUCACCAAACAAUAACUUGGGCCCACUUGCAUAUCUGAUGUCAGACUCAGGCAAAAACUAGUAAAAUCAUGCCCCCCCCCCCCCCGGAGUAUACCUAAAAUAGACCUACUAGCUAUUUCCAAAAUGGAGAGCCCAAAUCUUCAUCUGCAAUAUUCUUGCCUUUAGGUUUGUGAUUAGUCAACAAUUUGUUUGGCUUUAUUUGUUAACUCUUUUUUCAGCCACCAGGUUCCAGACGCUACCAUGAUGCCAGCCAGACUGGACAGGUGACUCCACCAAUGUAGCUAUUUCCAAAACAGAGACCCCAAAUCUUCAUCUGCAAUAUUCUUGGCUUUAGGUUCAUGAGAUUGACAGAAACAAAAAGACACGACAGCACCAGAGCUUCCCCAGUGUUUUGAUACUGCAUGUGCUGCUGGGCCUUGAGCCCACAGCCCACCAGAUAAGUACCAAUAGAAGUUUCUCAUUGGCACAAGAACUACUUUGGUUGGAUCACUGGUUCUCAAAUUUUAGCAAGCAUCAGAAUCACCUGGAGGGCUUGUUUAACCCCAGAUUCCUGGACCUUGUCCUAAGAAAAUGACUCUGUUCACCUGAGGUAUGACUCAAGAUUCUGCUUUUCUCAUGAACUCUCAGGUAAUGCAGGUGCAGCUGGGUCACUGACUAUACUUUGAGUACUGUUGAAACCAGAACAACUCACCUUCAAGUGGUUACUCAGGUAUACAAGCUACUUCAAUAUUAUAUCUAUAGAUUCUGGAAUGGGAAAGGAAGUAGCAAGCAUCUUUCAAAGACAUUCUGCUUUUCGGGGUAGAUAGCAUAAUGGUUAUGCAAAGAGACUCUUGUGCCUGGGGCUCCAAAGCCUCAGGUUUAAUCCUCCAUACCCCGGUACCACCAUAAGCCAGAGCUAAAAAAAAAAAAAAAAAGUUGAGCAAAGACAUUCUGCUUUUAAGUAUCUGCAUACAGAAGUGGCACACCUGACCUCUAUUUACAGUCUAUUGGCCAGAAUUAGUCAUGUGAACUUAAACCAGCUGCAAUGUAGGGAAACAAAGGAACUAUUUAGUGAGACUAGCUUUCUAAAAGUGGUUCAUUCCAAUGAAUAAAGAAAAAAAACUAAAAGGGUUAAAACAACAAUGAUUAAAUAAAAGCUUGAUAUGACCUUUGGGGUCUGUUUAAACAUUGAUCCCAUCUA